GACGAUCGCUGGCGGCGUGCCUAAUACAUGCAAGUCGAGCGGGCCGAACGAGAGCUUGCUCUUGUUCGGUCAGCGGCGGACGGGUGAGUAACACGUGGGCAACCUGCCCGCAAGACCGGGAUAACUCCGGGAAACCGGAGCUAAUACCGGAUAACACCAAAGACCGCAUGGUCUUUGGUUGAAAGGCGGCUUCGGCUGCCACUUGCGGAUGGGCCCGCGGCGCAUUAGCUAGUUGGUGAGGUAACGGCUCACCAAGGCGACGAUGCGUAGCCGGCCUGAGAGGGUGACCGGCCACACUGGGACUGAGACACGGCCCAGACUCCUACGGGAGGCAGCAGUAGGGAAUCUUCCGCAAUGGACGAAAGUCUGACGGAGCGACGCCGCGUGAGCGAAGAAGGCCUUCGGGUCGUAAAGCUCUGUUGUGAGGGACGAAGGAGCGCCGUUUGAAUAAGGCGGCGCGGUGACGGUACCUCACGAGAAAGCCCCGGCUAACUACGUGCCAGCAGCCGCGGUAAUACGUAGGGGGCUAGCGUUGUCCGGAAUUAUUGGGCGUAAAGCGCGCGCAGGCGGUCCUUUAAGUCUGAUGUGAAAGCCCACGGCUCAACCGUGGAGGGUCAUUGGAAACCGGGGGACUUGAGUGCAGGAGAGGAGAGCGGAAUUCCACGU
rnacentral:rRNA from 1 species